GUGGGGAAUCUUGCGCAAUGGGCGAAAGCCUGACGCAGCGACGCCGCGUGGGGGAAGAAGGCCUUAGGGUUGUAAACCUCUUUCAGGUGGGACGAAGCCACUCGGGUUAAUAGCCCAGAGGGUGACGGUACCGCCAGAAGAAGCCCCGGCUAACUACGUGCCAGCAGCCGCGGUAAUACGUAGGGGGCAAGCGUUGUCCGGAUUUAUUGGGCGUAAAGAGCGUGUAGGCGGCCAGGUAGGUGGGUUGUGAAAACUGGAGGCUCAACCUUCAGACGUCGACCCAAACCCCCUGGCUAGAGUCCGGAAGAGGAGAGUGGAAUUCCUGGUGUAGCGGUGAAAUGCGCAGAUAUCAGGAAGAACACCCGUGGCGAAGGCGGCUCUCUGGGACGGUACUGACGCUGAGACGCGAAAGCGUGGGGAGCGAACAGGAUUAGAUACCCUAGUAGUCC
rnacentral:rRNA from 1 species